rnacentral:rRNA from 1 species
UACGGAGGGGGCAAGCGUUAUUCGGAAUUAUUGGGCGUAAAGGGCGUGUAGGCGGCCUCGUAUGUCCCAUGUGAAAGCCCUCGGCUCAACCGAGGAACUGCAUGGGAAACGGCAAGGCUUGAGUCCGGGAGAGGAGAGUGGAAUUCCCAGUGUAGCAGUGAAAUGCGUAGAUAUGCGGAGGAACACCGAUGGCGAAGGCAAUCCCCUGGGCCUGCACUGACGCUCAUGCACGAAAGCGUGGGGAGCAAACAGG